UCCUAGCCCGGAUAGAAGUGAUAUCCUUUUUCAAGCCAUUCAGACGAAGGAAGAAUGGCUUGAAAAAGAUAUAAGCGAAUAGCCGGAAUAGCU
rnacentral:sRNA from 1 species